UCUGUUCGUUGGUCUGGGGAUUAUGGAACAGACGACGCUGGACCCGCAGGCCUCUACCCCUCCGGGUAAAACGCGGGGGGAAACAGUUGGCCUUGUUUCCCGUGAUUUUUCGACGGCCUCGGUCAGGCUUGGCCCCCUCCUCCUCCUCCUGCCCUCUCCUCCCGGGCAGAGAGACGUUUUGUUCUUAAUUUCGAGGGUUUCAGAGCGGCGCCCGCGAUUUUGCAUCCUAAGCCCCUGUUUCCACCUCUGUGCUUGCGUAUGCGAUUCGGACACGUACCACCCCACCUCUCUGUACGAUGUACCCCCUUGUAUACAAAUACGAAUUACAUCCCGGUUUUGUUCACGGCACGUGUGUGUACGUUCCUCCAACGAGUGAGAGAAACUAAAUAAAAGUAAAAUAAAACGAAGUAAGAGGGGAUACAAUUCUACAUAUCAAAUUUAAAAACUUGGUUAGUUCGUAUGGGAAAUAAGCUUACCUUUUAUUGAUAUCUGUGUUUGUGUUAAAAGGUAUAUUCUCACACACUCACAUAUACACACAACAAAAUCAAUGAUUUCCAAUGUUCAAUGUUUAGAAUAUUAUUUUUAUGAACUAUAAUGUUCAUAACAAUGAAGUGGUAAGUCCUCUUCUUCCGGUAAUCAUGUCUAUGUGUAAGUAAUUUGACAUUCAUCCUUGUUAACCAACUUGAAUGUGGAAGAAUGAGUGAACAUGGAGUGACAAGAAUAUUCCCUGUCCAACAUUCCAAAGGCCAUGAUAUGGUUAAAUUCAUGUCCUUUGCAAAUUGAGAAAAAAUAAACAAAAAAACAAAACCAAAAAAAGUGAGAACCAAAUAAAACAAGGGAAAAAAGGGAAGGGAGGAGGACUGUACAUAUAUUCUGUUGAGGUCAUGAUACAAGAUGCAUGCUUCCAAUGCCAUACCAAGUCUGCAUCAAGCUGAAACCCUUACUUUGCAAUCCUUUACAGUGUUAUGAAGAAAAAGUAAAAAAAAAAAUCAAAAAAAUCAAAAUCAACAACAACAACACACACACACACACACACACAUAUAUAUAUAUAUAUAUAUAGAUCCGUCAAUGAUGAGUUACUGCCAACAGUCUUGAGGAGCCACUUUUUACGGGGGGAUGCAGUGGUAUUGGAUUGUGCAGAGGGGAAUAUUCUCUCAAUGAAGGCCCCUUGCAUUAGUGGGGCCAAUCAUAAAGUACAAGCCAAAAAAGACAGUUGAAACACUAAAUAAGCUCUCUUCGACCCCAAUAUAAAAAAAUAAGUACAAAAAAGGGAUGGGAAAUAAACUUUUAAAAAGUGUGGAACAUUAAGAAUUAGUUUUUUAAGAAAGCCAAGGAUGUCUGCGGUGGAGAACAAAGAAUCUGAGCCUAGGCGAAGGACGUGUUCACACCGCUGAGCCCUAUGACACCCUAUGGAUGAUAAAUUCCUCUGUCCUCUCUUACAACUCGUUCCAAACAAUAUAUUUUUCCGGUAGGUCGUCAUCCAACCUUGAGUCAAAUCGAAUCCCACUCCAGGUCAGCUUUCCAUCCAACGCAGAACCCAAUCACGAGACAUGUUCAGCUACGCUGAUAUGGCACUGACGUGGACUGAGACUUUCUGACUUCCAAGCUGCCCUAUUCCAUGCGAAACAUGCCAUGGCCUAUUCCAUCUCUGUCAAGUGAGUGGCACACAAGUGAAAUGGAUUCCAAUCCUUGUGAAGUCUCACUCACUCUAUCUAUUUAUCUUCUAGUGCCAAGGACGGUUGAAUAAUUCAAAGCUGAUAAGUUUAAUGUGGCAAAAAAUAAUUAACACUUAUAUAUAUACAUAUUUCCCAAGACCAUGAGGAGUAUUCAAUAUACUCCAUCUGGCAAAACUAGGGCAAUUCAUGAUGCUCCUGCCAUUGCAUUUGCCCAGAGAACAAUGUGGCCUCAGACAGAGUGAAUAAAAGAAGAAGAAGGGAGGGCCUAUUGGGUGGGGACCCAGUGGCCCAAGUGAAUUCCACCCCCAAAACCUAAACCUUAAUCCUAAAACUGGGCUUGUGUUUUAGGGUUUAGGGGUCCAAAGGGUCUAUGUGGGAGUUGAUUGUAGGGUUUUGAAGGCAUGGGUUUGUUGGGAAAUCCAAUUCUGUGAGGAGAGGGCUCAUAAUGAAGAAGAGCUAAUCUAUACUUGAGACAAAGGGGGGGGGGGGGGCUUGAGUCACACACUGAGUUUAUGUGGGCCCAUGAGGAGUCAGAGCUUUCUCAGCAAAACAAUACAUGUUGUCACUGCAAGUGGGUCUUUGCUGAGCAGGCAGCGCUUUAUCACCAUCCAUUUUUGUUAACUAGUGUCAACUGGGUUUUGGAAUGAUAGUUUUUUGCAACAUGGGGUUAAUGUUUCGGUAUUUACGGCUUGCUAAUAUUGAGAUUUCUGUAACUUUUAUGAUAACUAAAUCGCUCUUUGCUGUAGUAAUUUCACUAUUUUUAAAUAUGUUUAACGGUUAUUUUUCAUGUUUUUCGGAAUUAGGUUUUAUGUUUCGAAGUUUUGCAAAUUAGUUGUGAGCUGUUCUUUUUGAUGCAUGCGUGUGUUCCGCAAAUAGAGUUACUUACGAAUUUAGUAACUAUGUUGGAUGGGUUUUUAUAUUGUGAUUUGUGAAACAAAUAAUCAUGAAUAUCACAAAUGAAAUUUUGUGUAAGUUAUUGAGUUGAAAUAUGUUAUUUACCAUGAAUACAUGUUCUCAAUUAAGAUUUUUAAAAUGAAUGUUGUAUUUGAAAAAAGACUGCAAAACAUUUUGAAUGCUGGGCAAGUAUACUCCUUGUGUUUACAAAGAGUGAGACCAAUUUUUAGAUAUUUAUUUAUUUAUUUAUUUAUUUUCUUAGACACUUCACAAAUGAUAGGUAAUAUUUUUGGAAACAAAUCCAAGGAAGCGUUUAAGUACAAGUAUUUAUUUUUUAUUUUUUAUUUUUUAAAAAUAAAUGGGUUCUGAAAAUUGUAUCUGGUCACACACAGAUUGUGUUUAUAGUGUUAUUUUUAUUUUGAAGUUCCAUUACAUGAUUUAGAGUUAAAAUAAAAAGAUACAUGGAGUUUUUCCCCUGACUUACAUGCAAACCAGAUAACAGAUAAAUUUAACUCUUAGAAAAGACAAAGUAACAUACUAAAAACAUUCUAUAUGUAUAUAUAUAUAUAUAUAUAUAUAUGUGCAACAAAGGAAGUGUGCUGCUUGUAUUUCAUGAUAUCAACAAAAUUGGAAUAACUUCAAAAAUUGUAAUUGGAAUUGCUAUUUAUCCUGUUAGUUGUGUGGAAUGAAAGUUGUGUCAGUAUGAUUUAUUUAAUAUUUUUGAAUAUGUUGGUGUGGUGUUGAAAGCUACAACAAAACAAACGAUCUUAGAGUAUGUCUUAAAUUAAUGUAAUUCAAAAAAUGAUAUUAUAUAUAUAUAUAUAUAUAUAUAUAGAAACAUUAUGUUAGUAUUGACUGUAUCAAUAUUUUGAAAAAUACAACACUCUGAACUUACUCAAUAUUUAUUUCUUUUGUGAAAAAUGGUAAAAAUCAUAACCAAUAUUAUCGAUGCAACAUAAAGUUUUAUUGAUACAUAUUAUAUGACUUAUACUAAUAUUAUUGAUUAAGUUCUUUACAAUCAGUUGUCCCAGGUUCAAACACUGUUUGAAUAUAUUUAAGAGUUUUUAAUUUUUAUACAAUUACCAAGUGCACACUGAAAUAUUUAAGUUUAAUUUUUAAUAUUUAUAUCAUUUCUAAUGAAAUUUUAAGAAUACUGGAACAAGACUAUUAUAUGUAUAUAUAUAUAUAUAUAUAUAUAUUCUUAUGUUAAAAACUAAGAUAAAACAUUUUUGGUUUCUUGAACUGCUUGUUGGCAAAUAAUUUAAUGCAUGUUAGGGAAUUAGUUUGAGUAGGAUACGAGAUUAAUCUUAUUGUAACAAAGAUUACAUUGCUGUCUGGGAUGACUUCUAAAGAAACCUUUUUAAUAAAUAAAAUUAAGGGAUAUAGAUUUUUUUAAAAAAAAUAAUUUCGUGUUCAAUUUAUUAUUUACUCUUAAUUAGUUCAAUAGAAAUAUGCACUAUACAUACUUACAUACAUACAUACGAGUUUAAAAUAUACUUGAAAAUAGGUAGUUAGUGAAACAACGUUGUUAGUAGAAAAAUGAAAUAACCAUACAAAGUCAAAAUAAUAAUUUCAAAAACUGUAGUCUUUUGAUAAUCUAAAAAUGUGUAUCAAAAUUUAUAAAUGUAUUUUGGAUUCUAUCAUCAAAGAAAUUUAAUGAAAACAACUAGCUCCUAAUUUCUGUUUUUGAUCUUUUUAGAUAUUUCAACAUUUAUCUUUAAAAAAUUGGAUUUAAAAUGGAAAAGCAUGAUUAUUUAAAGUUGAAGCAUGAGUGUUGUGGAUUGUGAGUUUGAUUGAUUAACAUAAAAUUAUAAUUCAAUCUGUAUCUUAAAUACUUGAUGAUUUUUCCUUUCAUAAUUAUCUUCCAAUAAAACCUUUUUGUUGAUGGUUGUAUAAAAAACUUGUAUAAUUUAUUUUAUGGGAUAUAAUGGUAACAGAAAACAAAAAUUUGUAGAUUAGUCUGAGAAUAGAGUUGGGACAAGAAUUUUAAUCAAUUGGUGUUAAGAACUAUGAGAUUCAAAAUCUACAAUUUAUUUCAAAAUACAAUUGAAGACAUAACUUAAACUUUUACAAAAAUUUGAAGUUGGUUGAAUGUCUGGAUUUAUGUAACUACAAGGCUUUAAAAGUAAAAGAGUGAUUGAUUGGGAUUUAAAGUAGUUAAAAAUAUACAGAAAUACCUCACAUAUCAUUAGGACAUGAAAAAAAAGAAAGCUAAGAAAUAUCAUUUAAUUUAAUUUUUACUAAUGAUAGACCUUCCUUGUAUUUCAUGGUACCUUGCAACAUACGAUGGAUUAUUUAUUAACAAUUAAAACUAGAUUAACCAGAAAAUUCUUCAAUAUAAACAUCAUACAAUAGAACAACAUUCUGCUACACAAAUACAAUAAACUAAAACUUAGAAAACUAAUAUCAAUCUGACCAAAUAUACAAACUUUUGACAUCAAAUUGAAUCUUCAAGCUUUAGUUUUGUAAGGAUUCACACUAUUUAAUUAGUUACCAAAUACUUAUUAUUCUCAAAAUUUUCAUGUUUUGACUAUUUUUAUAUACUUAAAAAGUAGUUAUAGAUUAUAAAAUGUACGCACCUACAAUUAUAGGAUAAUAUAUAUAUAUAUAUAUAUAUAUAUAUAUACUUAUUAGACACUUAUUUUGGGCUUGAUCUAUUACCACAUGAAAUGAAUAUCCUUAAUGCACUUUUGUCUCGAAGAAUUUAUGGACAUAAAAUUCAAAGCAGUAAUAACACUUCCAUGUAAAUAUAACAACUUCAUAAAAAAAAGCUUUUGUCUUACUUUUCCCGUAGAAAGGCAUAGUACAAUGGUGAAUUGAUUUGUAAAUGCUUUAAUCUUAUUAUAGUUACCAACAUGUCUUUAUAUUUUUUUGAUUUUAUUUUAAAAAGUAAAAAAGUAAAAUACAAUAAGUUUUUGCUUUCAUGAAAGAUUCAAGAUAUUUUCCAUGUCUUUCUAAACUAAUUUCAGGCAAGUGUGAAGAAUUUAGAUUUAUCAUCUAAACCAAGAUAAGUUGAAUUUAAAGUUUAAUAUUAAAAUCAAAUAUUCACUUCAAAAUAAGCCUUUGAUUUUUUAUACUAUUUAUUUACAAAACCAUUCAGUGGAUACCUCUCUUUAAUUAUGUACACCCACACACACACCCUUACUAGAAAUGAUUAGUCUUUAUUUUAAUUCGCUAUUAUUGGUAUAUUUACUAUUCUAAUACUAAAAUUUGAAUAUCCUUAUUCAAUUGUAUUCUAUAGCUCCAUAUUAUUUCAAUCUUUACUAUUUUUUUCUUGCAAACUCUUAUAAAACUAUAUUUUUAGAUAAAAAAUAUUCAAAAUGUAUUUUAUUAUUUUUAUCAUUGAUCAAUGUCAAAUAACGUAAAAUAAAAUAAAAUAAAAACUACUUGUUUUUAACAAAGACGUGAAUGUGUAGGUAUGUGGCUUAGGAGAGUGUUUAUGUAAUAAAAUAAGGGUGUCUACCUAACAAUUAUCUUUAUUUAUUUAUUUAUUUAUUUUCGAGUUUUUGUUCUGAAUUUAAAUUCUAAUAAUAUUUAAAAUAAACCUCAUGAUAUCUUAUUUAAAUUGCAGUAUAUGUUUUAAAAUAUCAAGAUCUAGAUCCAAUAAGUCUAAAAAUUAGUUUCAAAGUUUUAUAUAAAUAAUUAUCAGCUAAAAAAUUUGAAUAAUAAUUUAUAUAUUAAAAUAGAUAUUUUAUUUUUUAUUGAAUAAAAAUUAAAUUCUUAUCCUUGAAUAAUAUUUAAAUAUUUAAAAUAUGCUUUAAUUUUCUAAAGUGUAAAUUAUAUUUUAUAUUUAUUUCUUUACAUCUUUAUCUUUUUAAUGAUCUUAAAUAUAAUUUGUGGGUUUAAAAGGAAACUAAAGAAGUUUUAAUAAAUAUUAUAAAAUUUUAAAAUAAAAUAUUAAUUUUUAUUUUAAAUUUGUAAUAUAUAAUAUAAUUAAAUACUUAUUUUAUUAUAUCUUAGUAUUUAUCAAUUUUUAUGACUAAUAUAUUGAUAAUAGUUUUAUAUCAUUACAAAUUUAAAUUUUUUAAAUCUAUUAAGAGGCCAUAAAGUAUAAAACAUGUUCAUAUUAAUUGAGUUAUUAGAGAUAAAUAAACAAGAAGUAGAAUUAGAUAAAAAUAUAUUAUGAAAAUUUUAUCUUCUUUAAGAAGCUUUGAGAAAGUUUCUUAGAUGUUAAUUAGAUAUUUAGACUUUUAUAGAUAUGCCACAUGACUAUUAAAACUUGUCUUGCAAGUUUCUAACUUUUAAAAAGUUGAGUAGGAAGCAACCUACAACUUGAUGCUAAGGCCACAAGCUUUGUAUUUUGUAUGAAGCUUAUGCUAGACCUUCUUGAUAACUAAUAUUCAUAGAGACAAUACUAAGGUCUUUUUUAAUCUUGUCUUGUGUUCUAGUCUUCGUUCAAGUUUCUCUAGAUUCUUUGUAAUUGCAAUAGUCAUUCUAAUUUCUUUCUAUAUCAUAUCUACCUUUUAUUUAUUUAUUUAUUUAUUUCAUUGACACAAGAAUGUGUUGUCUCUAUAAGAUUUUUUUGUGAUUCAUGUCUUUGAUGUAAUAUUGGCAUAAUUUUGGUGUAUUCAAACUUUUUAUUGCAUAAAAUAGAUGCAUGUUAUAAUUGCUAUAGAAGACAAAAUUAAAUAUGCCAAAGUGAUAGAAAAAAUAUCAUAAUUGUUUUUAAAUGAAAUAAAAAAUUAUAAACAUAUGAUUAUUAUUUUAUAUUAUAAAUAAUUUGAAUACUCAUAUUUUUUAAAUAAAAAAUUCAUUUAUUAUUUAUAGAAUGCACUAAUUUUAAAAACAAAUAGUCCAAAAAUUUAUAUUAAUAUAUUUUUGAAAUUUUUUUUGUAAAAAUUAGCAUCCAAAUAGUAAAUUGGUUGAGACUAGUACUUAUCUAUGGUAUGAACUUUUUAGCAAAUAGUUUACAACAACAAAAUAAGCUACCUUUUGUUUGAAUAUGUUUAUUAUUAAAAAUUCUAUAAAAUGUAUCAUGUUAUUGAUCAAUCAAAUUUUACAUGGAUUAAGAAUCUAAUAUAGAUUUUAAGUUAGUUCAUAGUCAAUCUUAUAAAAAUAAUUUAAUGAAACCAAGUUCUAAAGUAAGAAUUAUGCAUAUAAAACUCAAUAGAACCAUUUCUAUUUGUAUGCAAUUUGAAGCAAAAUUUAACAUUAUGCACUUAAAAAUUACAUUCUAUAUCACCCUAAAUGUACAAAUUUUAACAUAAUAUAUUUAAAUAAUAAAUAAUAAUAAUUUUAAUAAUGAACAUAUAAAUGACUUCAUACAAAAUCUUAAUUUAUUGAUUUUUAAUUCAAAAUUUUAAAUACUAAUUUUUUAAAGAUUAUAUUGAAUUACUACAAUAAUUAAUAUAAAUAUUCUUUCCAACUAUUACUUUUAUAGAAAAAAAACUCUUACCUAUUCUAAAUAACAAUAAUAAUGAUAAAAAAAAACCUUAGACAUAAGUUUUAAGUAUCAUUAUUCAAAUUAUUUAUCCAUUAUUAUUACAGACAUUACUAUUAUAAUAGUGUCUUAUUGCAAGACACUAUUCUUCUUUUAAUCCUUUAUAUUAUAGUUUCAUCUUCUAUUUUUAUUUAUUAAUUCUUACAGUGUCUAUAGUAAAAUGCAACAAUUUGGCUCAGUGUGAUAUCAUAACAAAUUUCAAUUUGGUAUUAGCAUAAUUUCACAUUAACAACACUCCAAAUAUAUGUGUGUAUGUAAGUAUAUAUGUAUGUAUCAACCAACAACAUACAAAAACAAUAACAUUCAUUGUUAUUGGUAAAUUAUAUUCAUUAAAUUUAUUGUUUGAUAUCCUAUUUAUUUUAUCAAUUUUCUUUAUUUUUAGGUAUAAACAUCAUAUAUAUAAAUAUAUAUAUAUACAAGGAUUAAAUAAAUUUUAAAUAGUAUUAUGGCUCACUUUUGAGGUGUUGCCUAUGAUAAAAUCCAACAUUUACUUGAUGUAACUGAGAAAAAUUAAAAAAUAAUCUGAAACCAAAACCUACAAAAGCAGAUAUUAAGAUGUCUUUUUCUCUUAAUUUGCCAUGUUAACAUAUUUUCUUCAUCUUUUACUUACUUAAUCAUUCAAUCCUUAUUCGUAAGGGCACACAUAUGGUAAUUAUCUUUGGAAUUUUUUGGAUUUUUUGGAUUUUUUUCCCCUCUCAUUAGACCAUCAAUAUUGGGCUAUUGUAAUUGUUUUAAAAGGAAGCAGGUGUUAAAGGUCUUGCUAUUUAAAUAGGUGGACAACAUUUCAUAAAUAAUAAAUCAGGCAUGAGAGUAUUUCCUUUUUAACAUGAAUUUCUAACUGAUCCACUCAAUUAUAAGCAUAUUAAGAGAAAGAGAUAAAAGAAAAUCUUAGAAGAAAAUAAAAUGCAAGGAACCAUUCCACACUUUCACUAAAAGUAAAGGAUAAUAAUAAUAAUAAUAAUAAUAUUAAAAGAGCAGCAAUAUGAAGAUAAAAAGAAGUGAAAGCCUCUAGCAACAAAUCAAUAAAAUUGCCACAACUCAUAUCAAAUAUUCAACACCAAUAUGUACUCAUGGACCACAUUCACAUGUCUAUGAUGAAAAAAAUUAAAAAAUUAAAAAAUUAAAAUUACAAGUAUAGUAGUUUUGAGAGUGCAAGAAUCAUAAUUUUACACACUUCUUUUAAUGAAGGAUCCAGAUCUUUGUUAUUCUUCUUUCAUUGCUAAUAAAAAUUUAAAAAUAAAAUAAAACAGAAAAAAGAAAAGAAAAGAAAAGAAAAUUUUACUAAGUGUGUUUUUUUUUUUUUUUUUUUUUUGAAAUUGAUAUCAUUGUAUUUAAUUGACAAAAAUAAUCAACUUCUAUUAUUUCACAUUUGGGUUCAUGUCCAAAAGACCCACAAAUCUAUGUUAACGGUCAUGAAAUCACGUUUGAAGCACAAAAAAUUUCAAUAAUUUCAAAAAAAAGGAAGCUUGUUGAAAAUUGUGCUCAUUUUUGGUCCACCACACUUGAUAUAUUAUUUAGGUUUUUAUUGUUUUAUGUUUUAUAUGAUCAGAUCAAGGAUCCGGAGCUUCAACAAAUGAUUUAAUUGGCUUCAGGACACAAGAUCUCUAUCUCUUUAAAUUAGUGCCUUUCAUCAUCUCCACAAAACAUGGUACGAGUUGCUUUUGCGGUCAAACAUGAUAUUGUUUUAAUUCCGAAGGCAUUUUCUUAGAAUGUCUUGUGUUGACAUUGGACUCAUAAGAACAUGAUGCCUCUUUGCCAUUUGUGGUUUUGUAAAUUUGUAAUGUUGCUUGGUCUAGUAUGUUUGUUGUUUCCAUCCAAAAAAAUCCUUUUAAAUGUGUUGAAACCAAAGUUGAACUUUGACCAACUCUCACAAUAUAGGUUGUCUUUCUAAUGAAAACCCUGAUUAAACUAUGCCUAAAAUGUAUAUCUAUCUAUCUCUCUCUCUCUCUAUAUAUAUACAUAUGCUCUUGUGACUCAACAUACUAAAUAUAUAGUUAUUUCAUUCUUAUCAUAUCAUUGGCUAUUAAUUUAUGGGUUAAUGAAGACUUGGCAUUAUAUGUUACUUUGUAUCAUUCCCAUUUUUUGAAAAAUGAGGUGAGAGGUUGGAAAUACAUGGAUGCAUUAAGGACUUCUAGUUAUACAUCUCUUUGUAGACAUGAAUAGUGUAAUUUUAAAAAUAUGUGAAAAAUCAUUUAUUUGUUUGAUUCUUUGGUUGAUUGUGAGAUGUAAAUGUUCAGCAGUCUAUUUUUGAUUUAACAAAUUAGUUUGAGUUAAACAAGGACAAUACUCUGAUAAUCUACUAAUCUAGUUAAAUUCAAUAAUGGUACGUUUUCUAAAAGUUACAUAUAUAGAACUACUUUAAAAUUAAAACUAUUUCUAUGCCAUCCAUUUUUUUGAUUUUUUAUUUGGUUUUUUAAAGGUUUUGAUUAAUAAAGUUUUUUGCAAAGUAAUUUUUAUUCAACUGUCUUAUGUUCUUUAUUUCUCAAAGCUAAUUGAUAAUAAAAUUUAACUUUAAUUUUCCUUCUAAGCCACAAUUGGUUUUAUUCAUAAUAUUACUAAUUUAUUUAAGGAUUUUAAUUGAACAUGAAAAUUUAAUCAUCUAUUGCACAAUAUAAUAUCCCGAACACACUAAAAAAGAAAUUAUUAUUUUUAUUUAUUCAUUUUAUUGAAGAAUACAAAAGAAUCCAAAAUAAAAAUUCCAUCCCAUGCAAGUCCACACAUUAACAGUUCCAACAAACCUUAAAAAUCAUCUCCGUUACCUCAAAACAGGAAUAAACCUCAAAAAUUCUACCAAAUAAUAUCAAAAACUGUGAACCUCUCACAAGCAACAAAAACAUCAGCAGCAUCUCCUCAAAUACAAGCAAAGCAACAUGAAAAUAAAAAAUAAAAACACACACGCACUUUCACCACAAAACCUGCAGAACAGAAGCUGAUGAUGCAGUAUUAAGACUUAUGCAUCGAUGGAAUGGAACAAAAAAACGAAACAAGGCACAGAAAUCGAAUACAACAGCUAGCCAUGGUAUUGCACAGACUCUAGAUCUGCAGAAGCUUUUGAGGAGGUGGAGAACAAACACACCCAAUUUGCAAUUGCACUUAAAAAGAACAGGAGAAGUGGUUGCCUUAAGCUUACGAAAACUUCAACGUCAGGUUUGUGUUCGAAACAACUUCGGUAUUUAAAGAGGUCUUUACUUUGUGCAGCACUUCACAGCGGCGCGUAGUGCUCACUCCCGCUGUCAUGCAUAAAAGUUUAUUCCAUUUGGGUCUAUAACAUCCAAGUCCAAAAACUCCCCAACUGUGAAAUGUUUUCCAUGUAGACGUCUACUUUUAAGAUUUGGAAACAGAUUUUGAUGGAAACCUAAAAGGAUGACAUGCAACAAGUCGCCGAGUGGUGCACCCGGCAUGUCGGACCAAGGCCAGUCCCUCUCUCCUACGAGUACCGUUUUGUGCAGCUAGAAAAACUGCUCGAAAUUGAUUAGCUAGUGCGUGAAACUUGGACAUUUGGAGUGUAAUCCUUCUACUUUAUGAAUAGAAACCUGGGUGGAUUAUCAACCUACGGUGCUGGAUUGGGAAUAUUGGUGUCAGUCUGCUUAAUAAUAUCGGAAGCAAGGCUAGUACCAGCCUGGACACGGGAUUUUGCCUCUUGGCCAUACUCCGUCGCCUUCUUCUUCACUAACCCCGCUCCUUCGUUCAGCUUGAAACGUGCGGCACCAACCUGGGCAGCACACAACAUUUGAUCAUGCAGUAAAUGCCUCGAACAAACACACAGAAAUAAAGCCACAAUACACCACGGUUAGUAACAAUAUGUAUAUGUAUAUAUAUAUAUAUAUAUAUAUAUAUAUAUAAUGUUGGCUGAUUAUAUCAUGGAAGAGAAAAUUCUUUUGAUUUUGGGGCCUGCCAGUGGCAAUUUUGAGGAUUGGAGGAGUACCUGGUCGGAGCCAACGGGAUGAGCGCCCUUGAAAUACUUGUACACCCAAACGAGAGAGGAGGCGAAUCCGCCUAAGCCCAGCGCAACAGCGAUGACGAACAAGGCUCCAAUCCCAAGCGGGAUGAGAACUGGGCUGAACAAGAGGAGAAUUGGUAAUGCCAUCACGGAGGCGAAGGCGGAGCCAGCAAGCGUGACAAAUGCAACAGUAGUCACCGUCGCUGCCGCAACCAAAAAGAUCACCAAACCCAGCACCUGACGCCAUUCCAGCGGCAAAUUUUGAUGCGCGCGGUAAUACGAAUCCUUGACCCUGUCGGCCAUCUCGAACCUCGAUGGGUCGAAUCCACACUCUUUCAACAGCCGGCUAACACUUGCUGAUUCGAAACUAGACUGGGUUUCAGCAAGAGCAGAUAAGCAGAUCGAGCUGCGACGAUGCAAAUGCAACUUGAAGGCGUGGGAAGAAUUUGCAUGGACGGAAAGCAUGAAGCAUGCCGCCAUGCGCGGGUAGGCACAUGCAGUUGUGGAGAGAUUCGGACGUGGUGGGCUCGAUAAAAGCAGGCCAACGUUUCCAUGCAGUCCAGACCAGAGCACUGAAGUAGCACAGACCAUCAGAGUCAAAAGUAACUGGGUCCAAUACCAUGCAUACUGACAAAUGCUAAACAGGCUAACACUUCAUCACUACGAGUGUUAUUUGUCCAAAACUAAAGUAAAGCAUAAUGUAUUAAUGCGAAGAACAAUAUGACAAAUUUGGUGGGCAAGACUACCGGCCACUUCAGCUUAUGUAAAAGCUUCGAAUUGGAUUAGUUCCUGCAUUGCUAGCCCCAUGACCUUUACACAAAUUGAAGCAACAUUUUAUAAACGAUGUUUUAAUGCGAAGUUCAUGACUUUUUAUGUGCCAAAAAUAUGUCCAAUAUAGCAAUACGUUGAGAAAAUGUAAUCUCUCACUCCCUUUUAGCGUGGCCCCUGUGUUGGAUACUUUGUGCACGAGUCUGCACUAAAGACAUAACAGGACCUGGUUUCGUCAGUUGGUCUUAUUUCUAGCUGUAGAUUAGUCCAGCAAUUGAACGUACAUUCGAGGGAAAAUUCCGUUAAUGUGAGGCUCCAGGGUCAUCGUGUUAUUAGAAAAUUGAGUGAUAUCAGAGUGUGCGUUCGUGAGUUACAACGCUAUAUGUGUUGAGUGAGUCGCAACACACCUCUUACGGUAAUGCUCUACUCAAAACGAGGAAAACAAAACAUUUCUCCAAACCUUACACCCCUCGAUGAUGGGCUCCACUGGAUUCUCUUGAACCAUUUUCAAAUACCCUCUCCAGUCUGUGUCUAUCCGUCUUAAGUCCUGAGACUAAUCAUACUAAUCCCUUCAGUCCGCUGGUACAUCUACUGUUUUGUCAGCCAGAAACUACAACAGAAAACUAGGGGAAAUCCUCUUACUUCGCUAACAGAGUCCCCAAGAAUUAAAGAUGUCCACUCAAAGGUCUGGACUGGCUUCCUCCGCAGUAACGUGCAGUACAACUUGCUCAUUGUUUCUUCGCUUCACCACCAUUUUGAAUGAGGUUCCAACUUUAUCUCCUAAAGCUUCAACGAUCUGUCAACAAUUUUGAGGGACGUGAGCCUUCAAUUCAAGGCAGAACCCAACAAAAAGAGGGGCGUUAUUACAAAGAGAAAAUUAUUCUACAUGUUCACUAAUAUUGAUUUACACACCUGAUCAAUGGUGGUAACAGGAACCCCAUUAAACUCAAUUAUCACAUCAUCAUUAAGUACUCCGGCUCGAAAUGCUGGAGAUCCAGGGAUUACCUGCAAAAAUCCACAUACUUCAUUGCGUGCACAUUGCACUUCCACGAAUGGGAAACUAGCUCACAUCAAUAUCAAGAAUUCUCCUUAUAACAACAAACCCAAUUAAAAGAAGUAGAAAUGAAGGCUUUUAAGUCUUCCAGUAGGCAGAAAAAAUAAAAAUAAAAAUAAUUACCUGAGAGACAAGUAUGCCUGCGUUAACAUCAGGAAACCCAGGCCUUCUUUCCUUAAGUUGCGAAAUUCUAGGUUCAGUGAGCUCCCACAUUUUCAUGCCAAGCCAGGGCCGUACCACAUGCCUGCACUAGUAGAGAGAAUCAUGUUCCCUAAUUCAUGUUGUAUUAUACUCAUGGACCAUUUUGAUAACAAUGAAAUGGAGUUUACACGAGCUUUACAACAUGAUCCACAAAAAAUGGUCGAAUGCUUUAUAUAAAGGAUGAAGGAAUUCCAGAUAAGACCAUGACAAUUCUCAAAAGCAAGCAGAUCACGUUAACCAUACGGUCUUGGCAUAAAAAGAAUUACUUAUGAUAAUUUUACACGGAGCAUCAGAAACAACCUGCGCUUUUUGAGCUGGUCUACUAUUUUAAUCGCGGAAUCAAUUGGUAUAGCAAAACUGACACCAUCAGCUGCCAAAGCCUUCAUCGUAUUGAUGCCAAUCACUUCACCAUCAAGAUUUAACAAUGGUCCUCCCGAGUUACCCUAGAACAACAGCUCGUGUUGAGUUAAAGUGACACUCCGGAUUUACGACAAUGUUUACAGGCUACAUCAUUUGAAUAUAUUGACUUGUCUGCACAAGUUAUAAAGUAUGCUGGCAAUAUUUAAAAGAAACAAAUUACAAGAACGAACACUCAUUGAACAAGGCAUCAAAGUCACUGAGUAUGCCAUUAACUCGCCCAUUGACUAUACCAAGUAAAAGAAUAGACUUGAGGUAAAAAAUCUACCGCAUAGCAACAUACCUGAUUGAUAGCAGCAUCGGUUUGAAUAUACCCAGUCCCAACUCCUUCAAGUCCAAUUUCUGAGCUUUUGCGGUCUACGCAACUAAAAACAGAAAAAACAGAUUCUCAUAUCAGGUCUUCGCAAACAAACACACAGUCAGAGCAGGUAAUCAUAUUAUUCUAUCCAGAAUUCUAAAAUUUUGCGAGCUCAAAGUUGAGAAACCCUGUUAUAAUAGUUGAACCAUAUUUAAUGACAAUAAAUAAAUAAAAAAAUUAGCAUCUUUCAUCUCUCAACAUUCCGUUCUUAAGAGCUUGCCAGAGAUAGCUAUCAGACUUCAAACAAACGAACAUGAGGAAUUUAAUUUACAUAAAUUACUGUGUCACAAAACUCUAACACACUCAAAUUUAUGUCGUUUCAUAGGUGAAGGCUGAAAAAAGAAACAAUAUGUUACUAAAAUCGUCUCACUUCACAUGAAUGCAUCUAUAGUAACAACCAGAACAAGAACAAGAAUUAAGGCAUUCCUACCUGAUAAUACCAGCUGUUAUUGUAUUUUGUAGAUGAAGAGGACUACCCAAAGCAACCACCCACUCACCCGGCCUGAGAUCUUUGCUUGAUCCAAGCUUCACUACUGGUAGUGGCCUAGAUGAGUUCACUUUUAUCACAGCUAAAUCUGAUAAAGAGUCAAAGCUGACCACCUCACCCUCGAAAUUCCGACCAUCUUGCAACGUGACAAUCAACUACAAGGGCAUCAGUAAAAGAAAGCAAAUACCACAAUUGCAGAGGAAACAAUAUGAUUUCAAAAUAAAUUGACUUGGAGCAAUAGAAAAUUAGGACAAAUUAUCCGCACAAACUUUCAAUAAUAGCAAGUCCACAGACAGACCCAGAAACAAGGGCAUUGAAAUCUAACAUUAACAGGUUCAAGUCAUACAUGCUCACCGAGCCUUUGUGGAGACCACGCCGAUCAGUAGCAACAACAUGCGCAUUUGUCAGAAUAGUACCAUCUGAUUGUAUUAUGAACCCAGAGCCUGCCGUUUCUCCAAAAAAAGCAUUUCUUCUACCUGCACUUCCAAGAUAUCUUCACAUUAUAUUCAAAUUACUCGAAAGCAACACUAUUCAAUGAAUUUUGAGAGCUCACUAAUUGCAUCAUAAGAUCUUCAUUCGUUAUUCCAUACAAACCUCGAGAAACUGGGGUACUGUUGAAGAGUUCGUUCAGACGUCAGGCACGAAAAAAAUCAAAAUUUCUAUUUCAAGAGACAGGAAAGUAUACAAGUAAGAACUCACCCAGUGAGACUUUGACAUUAACAACAGCUGGGGCAGCCUUUGCUGCAGCAUCAGCAAUAGCAUAUCGACUUAAGCAGCCUCCUUGUUUGGACGGUAAGGAAGCACCUUUAGUGGAAGGACUCUUUGCCGCUGAUCCUGGGAACGGGGACGCGUUGGACACUCUAACAAUUGGAGUCCGAUUAUUCAAGUUACAGCCUUCACAAGUAACAAAUCCAAGUACUGAGAAGGAAGAGGAGGGGAAUAAGUAAAAAAUAAAAACCAUAACACGACACAUCUAAGGAACGGUUCGAAAUAACUAGAAUGCAUAAUCACAAAGUCAAAAAACACGGCAAAAGAGUAUACGUCAAGAUCUUGUACCGUUGUCACCAGAGUGGGGCAAAUCCAGAGUUCUCCUUGGUUCAUUGAACCGUCCAGAUUCUCCCUCAUGCGAUGGUGUUGUAACACCUCCACCAAUACCAUCCCUCUCAGGCCUCCCUAAUUAUCAAGGUCCCACAAUUCACCUAUAUCAUGACAUCGCCUCAACUUUCAGUUGCACAAUUGGUUUCGCCUGCGCAGCUACAUCCAAGGCAUCGAAUAUCUAACAGGUCGGGCAACAAAUGACGUCAUUGUCUUACCAUUCAAUUGCUCUGUGUAUAGGGCUCCCGAGGUUGUGCAGAACACCAAACUUGCCACCACAGCAGACCUUAGCCCAAACCUGUCUGAAGGGUUUGCUUUACAUUCAAAACUAUGUAUUAAUUCUCCCGAUGAGCGCAAUGGCUUGGAUGGAGCCUCCUGAAAUCCAAACGUCAGCACAUUGGUCUUAAGCAGGGAAAACAUCCAACAUAAAUACAGAUAUUAAAUAUAGGCUACAACUGAAUUGCUCUUCGGCAGCGGGUUCAGGUUCCCAAAACCAAACUAAUGCUAUGUUACACCAGCGCUCACUUGAUCCUGUACAAACCUCAACCGUUUCAAGAUACGCGAGUAUCUACAGCUCGAUCUAUCCUAAAUCAAAAGAUCCGAUUCUACCACAGAAUUCUUCGAUACAAAGGUAGAGCUCUAUUAGCACACAAUUGCAGCCACUUCUCAUAUGAAUCUACUCGUUCCUAUCAACAAUUGACCAAUACUCCCUCGACUAGAAUAUAAUACAGUUGCCUAUCAUAGCCUAAAUUCAAACCGAUAAUGCUGAUAUGAACCCCAGCGAAACAAAUGCAAGUGAAAUCGAGAAAUAAACGCACAUUUGACAACUUGCCGAUAAACUUCAAGCUCUGCCUCGUCCUCGACGACCAACGCACUGCCAUCUCUGCACAAUUCUUCUUCCGAUUCUCAGCAGACGCGCGAACCCCGCACAAGUUCCUCCUCCUCCGUUAAAUGCUUAAAACAACUUCCUAAGAUCAUCCCUCAAUUAUAGUUCCUUCCCCUUCCUAACGCUAUCUGCUGCCACAUUCAAUCCAACAAACCCCAUUGCAGAAAUCAAUUCAGAGCUCUCGCAAAAACUCAUAAAACCCGACGCUCAGCAAUUUCAAUAUCUCCAAACCCUAAAGCUAAAACUUACGUGAGCACUUUUCUCUACCGAAACUCUUCCAUACUCUUCACAAAACCUCGAUCCGCGCUCAAACCUCACGAAAUUCAAACAAAGUGCAGGCGAUUGUGGCGAUACAUCGACGUGACCAUCAGUGCAGCAUUUCUUCUUAUCGUCUCUUAGGGUUGAAAACCACGCAGAAUCGAUGGAUGAAUGAUGUUCGUGUGGAUGAAUACAUUUUAUGGACGUGAUUGGAAAGUAUUCGUUACUUUGGAUGUUAAAGUGAUGUCACACUUCUCGACAUCUUACAGAGGAAAGCGUCCAAUGGUAUCAAAAAAACCUUGCACAUGGAAAUAUGAAUUAGAGAUGAAUUUAUGAAAUAUAUUUAUGACAUAUUUAUGAAAUAUAUAUUUAUAUAUAUUUAUAUAUUUAUAUAUAUUUAUAUAUUUAUAUAUAUUUAUAUAUUUAUAUAUAUUUAUAUAUUUAUAUAUUUAUAUAUUUAUAUAUUUAUAUAUUUAUAUAUUUAUAUAUUAUAUAUUUAUAUAUUUAUAUAUUUAUAUAUUUAUAUAUAUUUAUAUAUUUAUAUAUUUAUAUAUUUAUACAUAGUUAGAAUUUUUUUCGUAAAUUAUUUGUACAAAGUGUUGUACCAAUUUAGAAAAAAUUUGUGGUGAACAAAGUUUGUUAUUUUGGUUGAUACAAGAACAAUACAACCAAAUUUUUGACCAGCAACAAGAAUUGUUUCUGUCUCUUGUUUGUCUCUUGCUAGAUGGAUAGAACAAAUUUCUACAAAUAAAAAGUCCAAUUGCCAAAGAUCUAAUAGUUCUUGUUUUGAUUUUUGAUUUUUGAUUUUUUUAAUCUGAAACCCAUCUUUCUGUACGUAAAAAUGUUACUCAUAAAUUACUUGCUUGUAGAUUGCAAGACUAAGCAAGCAAAAUAUUUUUACACUAGCAAAUGAAAUUGUUACAACCACCCACCAUUGAAACAUGUAUAUUAAUUAAACAGGUAUAUCUUCAAAACAAAGGGAGUCAAUGAGAAAGGGAUGAAGUCAGAGGAUGAAUGUGGACUAACGAUAUAGGAUGAAUAUACAGAUAGAUGGAUGAAGAAUAAUACAUCCAAUGGAUGAGGAUGCUUCCUGAUCGGCUUCGGCGUCGGCUUCAGCUGGCUCCCGUCGAAUAAGCUCUCAUGGCUAUUGCAUGGCGCCUUUGGACUUGCCCAUUCGAAUCCGGCCCAUCGACGGUCGAAGCUGUGGCCUCCGCCGGCAGAAUCUGCACUAGAUUUACAGAUUAUUUCGAACCUUUACUCAAAUUCGACUUUGUAGAAGCCGCAGAAUCGACAUCUUGGGGAAUUAUAUGCCAAUUGUAGAGCUGUAUGCACUGCCCUGAAUUGCAGAGGUGAAGCUGUUUGUGCCGCGGAGAGCCGAGAAGACUGUCUGUGUCUGCAUUUGUAUAUGAGGAGGAGGAGGUGGUGGUUUUGUUUCAUAUGCCUCGAUGCUUCCGUUUGUUGAGUUUCACAUGCUGGCUUGAUUUGGAGCUUUGGGAGAGGGAAGGGUGAAUAAUUCGUUGGCGGAUUGGUGUGCCGGCCAUUGUGAGGACUCAGUCGCUCCUGCGUGUGAUUGGGCGGUAGUCAGUAUGAGAUGGGUGCAGUGGGUUGCGCUGUCCUCCUUGCGUGCCGCCCGAUCGCUCACAACCUCUUCUGCGCCGACCGGGUUCGGAUUCCAUGUAUGUAUGCUUCACUUUUAGCUUUGUCGACUAACAAACUCGUGAUUAGACUUAAAUUUUCGGGGAUCAUAGCUGCGCUGUGAAUGUCGUGGUUGGAAUAUAACAAUCAUCGGUCAAUGAUGCAACUUUUGUACUUCUUGUAAAGAAAAUGGUGCAUCCACGAACUUUCGUCAUUGGAUAAGAGAUCAUCUCGACGCCCAGAAUCUGGAACCCUAAUUGCUGAAUUUAGAUUAGCAGGAUAUUCCUCGAGGAAUGAGACUCAACAUGGGAGUCGGUGUCAAGCCUUAUUCGUAAAUUCUUUUUUUAAUUUAGGUUGUAAAUUUUUUCUUACUACCUCAGUGGUACACUUUAAGUUUGGUGCAUUUGUCGUGCUGUUAUCGCUGUUUUCUUCAGCCUCAGGGUCAAAAUGCUUUUAAGGGUCUCGCAGAUUAAACGUGGAAAUUAUCAUUGGUUGAUACUAUGACCUUUGUCCUCGAGCAGGACUGUAGCUUUGAACUAGUGACCAGUUUUCAAUUUCCAGAAUUUGGAGCUUCAAUGUCAGGGGUGAGAUAUCUGAUGAAGGAUUGUGAUCUUUGGCAUUUGGAUUUGAAGUAGGACGCUAGCUUUGAAAAGAGUGGGAAGAAUGUUUUCGGGUUCUCAGCUCGGGAAUUGGCAUUUGGGAUGUUUUAUUGACUGUCUUCCUAGUAUUAGCAGGGGUAUUCGGGAGUAUCUGCAGUGGUUUGUAAACAGGGGAGUGUCGUAUCUUUCCAUGCUUUAGCCCUUGAGAAAGAACCGCAACCAGAAGAUGAGCGUCGAGAUGGUGAAGUUGAUCGUCACUCGAAUGAAAAGCCGCGCUCGGACAAUUUAAGAGAGAAAUCCAGCAUUGAAGGAGGUGAGAGGGUCAAUCUACGCCAUCUUUUGCCAAUUCUGUACUCAGUUCUUCAGGUUUUGCACUUCAUUCAGUUCAUUCUGUUAAUUUGGAAUUUGUAUUUCAGCAGUAUCUGAAGGUAUGGCUUAGAUCGACUUGCUGCAGAUAACGAAGUGGUGCUUAGGUUGAUCUUGUGUGGUCUCUGCAGUCUCUCCUGUAAGGUCCUCUACUAUUGAAGCAGAUCCUCGUUAUCAGAGGAGACAUGCUGAAGAAGCAGAUCGAGUAUCUGAUAUGCUUACUGAUUCCCAUGGAAGGAGGCACAAUUAUUUGAGAAUAUCACUCACUGAGCGCUGCAACCUACGUUGCCAUUACUGCAUGCCUGCGGAAGGUGUUGAGCUGACACCAAAUUCAGGGCUGCUUUCUCAAGAAGAGAUAAUCCGAAUCGCUAGCACUUUUGUUGCUGGUGGGGUUGAUAAAAUCCGGCUUACAGGGGGGGAGCCAAGCAUCAGAUCCGACAUUGAGGAAAUAUGUGAGCAGUUAAGAAGCCUUCCAGGUCUCCAAAACUUAGCUAUGACUUCCAACGGCAUCAUUUUGUCGCGUAAACUCUUCAGAUUGCAAGCGGCUGGGUUAAACCAGCUUAAUAUUAGUCUAGAUACAUUAGUCCCAGCUAAGUUCGAGCUCCUCACAAGGCGGAAGGGACAUAAUAAAGUCCUACAGUCCAUUGACACAGCGUUGGGAUUAGGAUUCUCUCCAGUUAAGGUAAGACGAUGUUCUUUUUCUUUUGAACCCUGAAAGUUUGAGAUUGGAUCUAGAAAUAUUUUUUCAAGGGAAUAGGUUCACUGUGCAGGUUCCUUAGUGAUGAUGAUUGACGAUGAUGGAAGUUUUGUGUUUCGCGACCAAAACUAAUUUUAAUCUUUUGUAAUACUUCCAGAGUUUUGUAUGAUCAUGCCAAAUCAAGUUAAGCAAUCUCAACUUCUAGGUGGCUCGUUUUAACUGUUUGUUUGUUAUAUGUGCUCAGGUAAACACAGUUGUAAUGAGAGGUCUCAACGACGACGAGAUCUUAGAUUUUGUUGAGAUAACGCGGGAUAGAGAUAUCAAUGUCCGGUUCAUCGAAUUCAUGCCUUUUGAUGGCAAUGUUUGGAAUCCCAAAAAGCUGGUUUCGUACGUGGAGAUGAUGGACACGAUUGUAAAUCUUUAACGCCCUUUAUGUCUUCAAUCCAUAUCUUUGGUACAUUUUCAUAGUUCCUUCGAAGUGUAUAGAAUAGUUCAAAUUUACUGUCGUGAUUCUUCUUGACACGCAGUACACGUUGUUUGAUUUGGUUUUAUCAUUCUAUAGCUAUUAUUGUUUGGAUGAAAUCUUGUUACCAUACCCUCCACUGUUUGGAUAUUUAGUGCUGAAUUGGAAAUUGUCGCGCAGAAGAAUAAGUUUCCGAGUAUAUAUAGACUAAAAGACCACCCUACCGACACAGCUAAGAAUUUCCGGGUGGAGGGGUAUCUAGGCACGGUGUCAUUCAUCACCUCGAUGACUCAACAUUUCUGCUCAGGUUGCAAUCGGUUACGACUUAUGGCUGACGGCAACCUCAAAGUCUGCCUGUUCGGUCCAUCAGAGGUGAGCCUCGCACCAAGAUACAUGUGUCAAGCUAUCUGAUUUGUAGUUGUCAUGGCAUUGCUCAACCAUGCGUGGAUAGUCGUUUCAAAUGAUUGUAGGAAAUGACAAUCCCUAUCCUGGUGUUGUGUACUCGCCAACCGUGUGCAACUGUUAGACAUGUGUUGGAUAUCGUGUGUGAGACCACACUCGAAUACCUUUGCCUUGUGAUGGUUUAAGCUCUGAUCAGAAGCGUUUCAUUGCCAUAACUGCAGUGGGAGACAUCUGAAUUAUACCCUCUAAUACAAUAAUUUAAGGGUGUGGUUGAGUUGAAUGUUUUGAGAGAAGUAACAGUUUUCGAUGGCUUUUAUUUGAACCACAUUCACACUCAUAUGUAUAUAUUGGUUUCAGGUCAGCCUGCGGGAUGCGGUACGCAGUGGCAUGCAGGAAUCCGAAUUGCAGCAGGUCAUCAGUGAUGCGGUUUGUAGAUUUUCCUUUUCUCUCUGCAGUCUGUGGAUACUGUAUUAAUCAUUCUCGUAUAAUAUUUAGGAGUUUAGUACUAGAAAUUGCCUUAGUAAUAACGGAUUGGGAUGAGAGACCUACACAACUGAUAAUUGCUUUUUGACCUGUGCAGGUGAAGCGAAAGAAAGCUGCGCAUGCUGGCAUGUUUGAGUUAGCUCGGACUCAGAAUAGACCCAUGAUACACAUUGGCGGGUGAUAUGGCACUUAGUAUAUUUGAAGGUCAGAAUGAUUGCUUGAGUCAGAAAUUUAUUAUAGAUUGUGGUUGCGUAGAUGGAUUGUCUUUGAUGCAUUAUAUGUGAUGUGAACUAAUAUGUUUUGUUUUGUUUUGUGUGGACGACAGGUUGUGGAAAGGUGAAAUAGCUUUCUCAUCUGCUGAAAGCGUAUUCGACUUGUCAAGAAGCAGAAGUUGCCAUUAUUUAAUCACGUAAGUUUCACUUACUCGGUUGUCUCAGUGCAAGUCCACUGGACUUUUGGAGUGGCUGAUGCUUUCUGCACGUAUCUGUCCAGCUCUAGAUUGUCAAAUUUGAACUUCUUACUAGUUGAUUUAUUGCAGGUUCUCAGCAUCGUAUGUGCGGCUCCUACACAUCUUUCUAGCAAGUUCGUUGUUCUGCCUCCUAUUUAUAUAAUCUUGUACACUCUUUAUUGCGGCUGGAAAAGCAUUGUUUGGCGGCUUCAUCGGAUCUGGAGGAAUUUAAUUUGCCAACAUGUUCUCGGAUGUUAUGUUAAUGCAUUGUACCAUUAGGCUCCAAUUAGUCAAUUCUCACAGUUAUAUCUUAAGAGCAUGAAAGCCUUGUUCGACUAGCUUUAUGGAUUCUUAUUACUGGAUUGCAAUAUGCACUUGCCACGUCUGCAUGACCAGAAUACUUGUUCGUGCAAUCGGAGCUUUGUUUAAUAUGAGUCUGUGAUUGGCCCUUCGUUUACGCAUGCACCUCAAAAUCACGUAUGCGGGCGGAAAUUUAGUGCUUAUCAAGCAAUUUGCAGAAUCUGUUACCUCUGAAGUGGAUUACCGACAUCACUUGACAAGGUCUGGGAGUCGCUUCUCGUAUACGAUCCACACGCUCAAGUAUUUGGCUUAUUUUAUUCUUUACAACAUUUUAAUUUUUUUAUUCUUCUUACACUUACCUUCGUGGUGAAUUUUCAUGCAACACAUCUAUUUUUGGGCCCAUUGCUUUGAGCUGAAGACACUGUUUCACCCCUGCAUUACAAGUAUCUGACCCAACCAUAUGGAUAUUCUGCCACAACCAAAAUUAAUUUAUUAACUUUGUUUAGAAAGCUUAUGAAGUUUUCAUCAGUACACAUACCCUUUAGUUAGUACCAACAUUUCUAAAUUACGGGCUGACACAUAACAAUCCUACUUUAGAAAACAUAUCUACACUGCAAACAGAACGAAACACUGUGCCGUGAGCAAUCCAUGUCACCAAUUUUGCUUUGCCAAGUAGCUUGACAUGACCCACUGCUGCUACUCCGCUGAUUUUAUUGCAGAAAACACGCUUCUUGUGACAACUCCAAAAAAAAAAUCUUAACUUCAGAAAAAUAUUUUUAUUAAUUGAAACAUCUCACUAACAUAUUGCAUGAAUCUGCCACGAGAAAAGCCACAUUAUCCGUGGGAAAUUGUCUUCUGAAAACAUCCGACAUUCAAUUAACACCAUUCAUCCGAUGGCCUUGUUUUGUCUCCUUUUAUUCUUCUCACCCCCACUGCGCCGUUUCGAGUGCGAGUCGUAAUGCAUAUGUCAUGCUUGAUGAUAACACGGCACCAAAUUUGAGCUUGGACGUGCCACGAAUGUCAGAUAUUGGUGUCGUGAGCAGGUAGUUAAGGCUAUUGCAAUUGUGGCACAUCGUUUUGAAGGUGCAAUCGUCUCAGUUUGGAGCCCAUUUCAUCUCCAUUUCGCUGCUCCCGAGCUCUCUCAACAUCAACAGAUUGGAGAACCCGGCAUUGUUAGGUACAAGAGUCAUGUUGAUCGAAGACGGGAAGUGAUGCCUGGGUUUUUCUUUCGAAGUGCAUUGAGAUCGGCAUAUAUGUGGGUUGGAUUUGAGUUUUUGCACGAGGGGAGGAACGAGAGUUGAGCUGGGUUUUUGAAAUACGUGAGGUUGGUUUGCGAUUGCAGGUUGGAUCCAUUGAGAAAUUGUCUCGCAGGGAUGGCGAAGUUGGUUCCUAAUGUCCUCCCUGGGGAGGUCGACGUUGUGGUGGCUGCAUUGAAGCCGGACUUAGGCUAUCUGGAAGUAUGGCGGGAGAUGUUGAAGGGAUGCCAUCUGAUUGUGGUGCAGGGGGAAGCGUUUCCCGAGCCGAUAAGAGUGCCCGAAGGGUUUGAUGCGGAUGUGUAUACGAGGGACGACAUCGUGAAGUUGUUAAGUGCAGAGCUAGUUAAGAAGCUCGGAUUCAACGGCCGUAGCUGCAGAAGCUUCGGCUACCUCAUGGCCAAGCGGCGGUACGUGUUCUCCAUGGAGCCGGAUUGCUCACCAGCCCAGGACCCGGAGGGCUACGUUGUCAACCCCGUUGUGGAGCAUGUCGUGAACCUCAAAAUUCCUGCGACACCACUCUUUUUCAACACAUUAUACGAUCCAUAUCGAGUUGGGACGGAUUUCGUGCGAGGGUAUCCGUUUAGCUGGCGGGAGGGUGUGCCGACAGCCGUGUCUCUGGGUUCCUGGAAAAAUGCUACCACGGGACGAUAUGUGGAUGCGACACUGACCAUCCCGAGGAACACCUUGUACACAAUGAGCGGGAUCAAUCUGGCAUUUGAUCGAAGUCUGGUGGGACCGCUCAUGUUCGAGCCUCCUCAGCUUGCCUCUGCAAAUGGCGCUGGUGAGCUUUGGGCGGGCCUCUGUUGCAAGACGAUUUGUGACCACAACUAUUGGGGUGUGAAGACUGGUUUGCCCUACAUCUGCCGUAAUGAAGCGAAUGUAGCGAACGAGAAGGCUGCUUUAGGGCAAGGAGAUGGCAACAAGCUGGAUCUAAUUGCUGGGUUUUUCCAGACCAUACGGUUGAGUGGCAAUCCAGUGGAUGUAAAGGGUUGUUACCUUGAACUGGCGGAGCAAGCGAAGUCCAGGCUGUCGGCCGGAGAUCCCACCUUCAACGAGGUUGCGUCGUCUAUGCAGGCGUGGAUCGCAGCUUGGAGUAAGCUUGGCCAUUAACACCACCAUUUGAAGACAUAUAUUAGGUCUGGUUUUAGUUUCAGCAAGUCCAUACUCCUUGUUACAUACUACCGAGUAUUGAAAGUAUUCUAUCGGGCUUGUGUCUAAAGGAGAUCUGUUGACGGGUCCUGGUUUUAAGAGUUGUUACAAAAGGUUCUUGCUUAAUCUUGCUUCGGUUUAUAUGCUCUUUUCCUUUUUUGCUGUCAACCGUCAGCAUGUGCGACCCAUACGCUUGCUUAUUAGAUCAUAAAAUUAUUGAUGUAGUUCUGUUUACUACACCGUUUUCUAGUGUGGUGUACAUUGAUUCUUAAAUUCCACAUUGUUUUACUUUUACAUAGCCGCAAUAAAAUCUUGUUCUUGUAAAUUUCACAGUAACGCAGUUUUUUAAAAUCUAAGUUUCAUGUAAGGGGUUACUUCCUACAGCGUUUUAUGGAAUCUUUUUAGAAUGAUAAUUUUUCAUGGAAUAAGUAAUAUUGUUAUAAAGAGGGAAAAUAUCCAUUAACAUUCCUCUUAUUUUCUCACUUUUUUCCUGAUGAGAAACUCAACAAAAGAAUCUAACCAUUUAUCUGGCUUCGUUUCCCAUUCAACGCCUAUGAAUCUAACAGUGCGUUUGCAGCGUUCGUAUAUUUGUGACUUGUGAUCAGAAGUAUGAGUAGUCCUACAGUGUCGAUCUCCGACGUGAAUUCCUAGCACAUAAAUUCUGUUUGAGAUAAGGAGAUUUAAGGACGUGAGUGGUUGUUUCUAAUUUAUCCCACUUUGACAGCCAAUUGGACUCCCAUGUAAACAACGGUAGUAUAAUAACUCAUCGAACAUGAACCAUACUUCUCUCUUUUCAACAGAACUGAGCUGCAUUCGAUAUCGAUUCUCAACAAUACACAAUGAUAUGCCUCUUGAAGCGAGGUGAUUAGUCUCAGUGUGCGCAAUCAUGCACACGGUUUUCUCAGGAAAGGUAUCAAUAACCCACAAAAAUUAAGUGGCUUAAAUUAUCUACCCUAAGAGAGUUCCCUUUACACUACAGCCAAUUGCUGGUUCAAAGUCUUCAAUCUUGAAAAUUAUCUGCCUUGCGAGAGUAAAAAGGAGGGUCACCUUUAUUAUACACUUCGCAGAUGCACACAUCGUGCUAGGACUAAUAUGCUGAGCUUUUCACUGAACAUACUCCAGCAUAUGAUACCAGUUCCGUCGAUUGUGAAAGGCUUCUCCAGAACAUUCAGGUCUUCAGGUACAAGAUCCUGUCCAUGAUUCUGUCCGAUUUGAACGAUCCGAACGAAAUUAACAACCGGGGCACACACGGGGCUGUGUUGCUGAAAGAGCAACAUAAAAUUUCUACCCGUCUAUUCCUAGUAUGCUUUUUCCUGUUUCAACAAAACUCUGGUAGCCAUUUUCGCCUGCAGAGAAAUAUAGAGCUCUUCCCAGGAUUGAAAUUCCAACGAACUAUGCAGCUAGUCCCCCAAGUCACUGAUAAUCUGCUCAAUUCUCGGAUAGAUAGGUUCAUUCACUGGGCUCGUGGCUGACAAUAUACGCAGCUAGAAGUUAACGCAGAGCAUUCCCUACCAUCUCGCACAACAAAGUGUGCCUUGCUUACGAACUCUGUACUUGCGGUUCUUCCACAAUGACACCAAGCUUCCCACAAAUGCUUCAAAACCUCCGUGCUUAGACCAUUUUUUUUCAUAUUUAAGCACUCCAGCCCCUGAGCCAUUCGGAUCCUUUUGAUAAGAUUCUCUAUCACAUGAGAAUCCGCUUGCUUCUCAUUGGAAUCUGAGUCGGCCAAUCCUCCGUCUAUGUCCUUCACAAUUUCAGAGAUUUCUGGAAAUCCUUCCUCUACUUGAGUAAGCUCGUUCAGGAAUGCAUCUCCGUAAGGCUUAUCGUAGGUGCCAAGGUCAAUGGCUGCAUGUUGACCUUCAUGGUCAGAAGUUUCUUGGAGAUUCGAAUCCGUCUUUUUAAUUAUGUACGGUGCAUUACAGUUUGAAAAUGUACUUCUAGAAUGUUCCGUACCAUUUAAAGGAACUCCUGAACCCUGCUCUUGAUUAAGGGCAGAAUUCGAAGACUUCGGAGUCUGUUGGGUUACAUGAUUACUCACGUCAAGGUCUAUGCUUGGAACAAUCGCCAUAGCUAACGAUUCUGUGAUCCCAAAUUUGAAAUUUCCAGCAACAUGAAGUUCCCAUAGAACUGAGUUUCCUGUUAAUCAAGAGCGCGUGAAUCAGUUGAAUUUCAUAAAUCAACUUCAGAAAUGUAGCAGCUAUAAAUAUUGAACUAGAAGCAAAUAGCCAAGCACCUCUGCUUUUCUCAUAAUGUUGUACAGAACAAUCAGAAUGAGCCGAGCUCCCAGUAGAAACUACCAAAUUUUCGCAAGUUUUGAAAUUCCAAUCCUGCAAGAUUUUGCUCAGGCUCUCAUCGUUAACGAGCUCAAAAUGCGUAAGGAAACUUACCUUCGAGAGCCUGCAAAAGGAGAAGGACACCAGUCUGACCGAUGCAACAGUCAUCCAAAGUAAGAGACUUCCACCGACACUCUUCUUGACGUAGAGCAAGAGACAAAACUUCUGCCCCCUGCAGAUACAACAUAUUACGUACUUCGGAUCAAAUAAUUUUGAAAAAGCAAUUCUAGAAGCAGAAAAAGAAGAAUGAACAAAUAAAUGGAUGAGCAGCAACGCAUUUGGUAGUUCUCUCGACGAUCUGGAUCACAGAAAUAGAAUCGAGACACACCUGUUCGCUAAGUUGAUUAUUACUGAGAUUCAGUGUAGAGAGCCCAUAUAUGGAUGCCAUUUUAUGGCAAACUUCUAGAGCUGGUUCUCGACUUAAUCGACACGAGGAUAAGUCAAGGUUCAGAAGCUGCACAGUGGUUCCUGCCAAGGCCUUGCACAUGACCUGUGCACCAUGCUGCAAACAUACAAUUUCCACACUUAGAACUGAAAACAUACCGUGAGACAGACUUUUAGGUGAAACUACGCUCAUCCACAGGUUUAACAGGACGAAAAUGCUGAAAACAGGAAGAACGACGCUUACAUUUUGAAUCUCACAUCCUGCCAUGUUGAGCACGGAGAGACUGGAGGACUUCAUUAAGGAAGCAGCUGCAAGCACUCCUUUAUCGUCGAGCUCAAUACCCCGUAUAUCAAGCUCUGUGAAACUGAAAUACAAUGAAAACCUUGUUAGGAUGCAGGCCCUUACACGAUUUUUCCACAAUUUCCUCCCUCAGACAACUACAAUACCCAAAUCGCAGCCAUGAAGUCAUGCAUCUAUUCAUAAGUGAUUAUCGAGUACGUCUAGUCUUUAGGGGAAUAACAAUCUGUGAUAUCGCUACCAUGCGGUAAGAUUCAUAGAUGUCGAAUGUGUACCUCAGGAGCCUCGAGAGCUUCUGAAAUAAGCUGGACAGGGCACUGCCUCCAAUUGGGUUGUUGUGUCCUGCGUUGCAAGAUCUAAUAAUUAUUACAUAGACUCUGCAGCGAGGGAGCAUCUGAGUUGUCCUGUCAGCAUAAUUGCCCAGGCCUCGAUAAAGGCGACAAACUCACGGGUGUAAUUCAUCAGAGAUGUUUCGCUAUUUUCGGCAUUCUUCGUAAGUUAUUGACAAAGACAUUGAGGUGGAGUUUAAACUGACUCACCAAUGCAGAGUUUCACAAGCGACGACUCUGGUUGCAAAGAACUACUAAUCUGCUGUAUCGUACGUGUAGUAAGUCCACAUCUCUCAAUCUCCAAAGUUGCCAAAGCUGCCAAAUAACACAAAAAAGUUGUCAAGCAGAACGGUGAAAACAUACAAGAGGUGGAUAGAUUUCAACAACAAGUCCAGAAGCCAUUUGCGAUUAUCGAUCUUCGACACUUGAAAACAUAGCACUGUGUGGAAGGCAUAGAAUAGCUGAAAUUUGUACCUUUGCUUUGUCCAACGAUGGCUGCCAGGUUCCUUCCAGCAGCAUCUGUAAGGCGGUUUCCCGAUAGUUUGAGCACUUCCAAACGAGAAAGAGUAACGGGGCAUUUGGCAAUCUGCGCAGGGCAAAGACUAUGUCAGUGUGGAGUGCAAACAAAGAUGUCGACAUCUAAGUAAAGACUACAGGAAAGACAAACCAUCGCCACUUCAGAUUAAAAAACCCGAGAUGCUAGAGUAAUCCCAGUGUCAUUACCAGAAGAUUAAAACAUGAUUAUCAUUACUUCCUGAAAUGCAUUCUGCAGGAGCAAAUUGUAUAAUUGCAUUCGGUAUACCUUCACCACAGGAGAGCAGAACCAGUGCGCUGACAAUCUGCCAUUUCUAAAAAAAUUCAUAAACAACAUGAUGUACGUUGUCUAUGGUAGUGAGAAAGGCUACCUGAACAAGAGCACCAGCUCCCAACUGGUUCUUAUGAAGGUCCAAAGUAAGUCCUAAAUCACACUGGUUGGUGGCAGCUACCAUCUCUUGUAUAGCAUUUAUUGUUGCAUUGCCUGUUCACGAUGAUUCAGCAGUUGAGACACAGCAUGUUGGAUAAGACUAUAUAUAUUAGUGCCGACACCAAUAUUCAAAAAGGGUCUACUGCUUAUUUCACAUAAAAAAUUCCUUGCCGCAACAACAAAUAACCAACUAACUCAAUGCUGGCCAAGGAUGCACUUAAACUGGUGAGUUCUAGUCCACCUUGUAUCUACCUGAUUCCAGCAAAAGCGUAAAUGGUUAUCGUUCACUUCAAAACCUCAAUUGAAGCCAUUGAGGACAAGCAUCGAGCUGAGAUAAAAAUCAAGAAACACGAGAAGAAAUGGUUCUUACCAAGGAGAUUAUGAGACAAAUCCAGAAACGAGAGUGCUUCGUUUUCUUGCAAAGCAUUUAUCAAAGGCCUGACCGAUAUAUCUUGUAGGUCACAGCUGGAGGCAUCAACCUCCUCAUAGGAUCCCUGCAAAAAAGUUGAUUUCCGAUUACUCAAUUUUAAUAGAGCGAUACAAGAUAAUCUACAAACUUAGGAUGGAGCAGGUAUUCUUAUCAAAUAUCAUAGCAUACAUAGCAUAAGAUAAGAACUACGAGAGGAGUUCAUUUUGCGACCUUGAGAAGCUUCAGCUUAAGUGCGAGUGCAGCAUUAACGCUAGUAUUAGCAGCAAUGCAGUGCGCCUCGUACCGCUCCACAACAGGUAUAGCCACCCAACCUGUGUCCUCCCACUUACUAAAUCUUAGUUCGUAUCACAUAUUUGAAUUUGCAACAUUAAUCCAUACAGCUGAGCACACGUAUUGUCAUUGACACUAAUAUCUUAGCCAACAUGUACUUCCAGGCUUUCAACACUACAUUGAAAGCUGUUUUAAGCAGGUUUCUAAGCUUAAGAAAUCCUUUAAGAAAAGUCUACGCAAGUUCUGCGCAAAUGCUAUGAAAAGAAGUUCGUAGGCUUGGUACGUAGAACUGAAACACCUAGAAAACAUAGAUCUUCAAGUGUACCUUGAAUGAUAGCAUCUAUAGAGUCAUCAGCGGUAAAAUCGUUCAAAACUUCCUCAAUAAUCUGAAUCGGCUUAAGGAUACUGCCUUUGAACUCCAGUCUCUGCACUACUGGUUUUUUGCCUGCUCACAUUAAAAGUAUCAAUGUUACUUCUCAUGGUUCAUAUUGUGGCAACAGAUAAUGGAGUUGAACACUUCAAGCACUAAAAUUGCAGUCUGUUCGCCUUUAAUUUAGUGGAGGGUACACGUGCAAAUACAUGGCAUAUUUUGAAGCCCUUUGAGUAUCAUUGACAACCAAGUUUUUGAAACACAUAUCAUUCCUGUUAUCAUGGCCAAGCUAACAUAGCAGCUAACUUAGUCAACUCACCACCAUUAAUUGCCAUCAUCUAACAAUGACCUUAUACAAAUUACCUGCUGAGUUAUCACAAGUGUAGAGGCGAAUAAUCUCUUCCAUUAACCAGCCAACUGUUUUAUUUCUUUCUGUCUCAGACCGCUUGAUAAUCACACGCAGUGUUUGCCCAUUGAUGUUGACGGGGACGAUCAAAGGUGCCUUCAAAUUAUACAAAAGAACUUAUUGAGACCUUGAUUUACAUCACAAAAGUGAAAGAUAUGUAUAGCUGCAUAUCCAUUGAGGAUCAGCAUAUUCAAAUAAACAAAAUCUUUUAAUUCAGAGUUUUGGAUAGUAAUAAAUCCAAAAAAUGAAAAACUCAUAUUUGGGCGUUCCAGAAUGACAGCGUUCAAGACAGGACCACUUAAUGAAAACAAGCUGACCUAAAAUAACAAAAAAAAGUGAAAUAAAAUAUCAAGCUUGCAAAUUUCGUUUAUAUAAUACAUGCACGACACAUAACGUCACCUGAAUCACGUUAGAACGCGCUUGUGUGUCACUGUUGUGCGAAGUAGCACCAUCUUGGUGACUUGAAGAUGAUUUUCUUGCUUCACGUUGAGAACCCCGGACAAGUGAGCCACUUGCUAAUGUCUUACCCAUAUCUCCAGCCACUUGAAUUAAUGGCUGCGAUUCAUCAUUGAAGUCUUCGUCUUUCCUACGAGAAGCGUUGCCUGUACCCAAUGAUCUUGUGAAAGUCCAAUCUCCAUCCUCUUGCAUAGGUCUCCGCCCUGGACUACGUUGAACGACAUCACUUCGUCGUGCUAAUCCACUGUUCCUAGUUUUGGAGUUGAGAGAAUUUACAUUCUUAUGCUCAAUACCUUGAUCUUUCGUAAGCUUAGAAUGUCUCAGUGAAGAUUUUUUAUUGCGUUUAGCAGCUUUACAUGCUUCCAAAGCAGUUGCUAGAGGUUCGUCGUCAUCGGAGCAAAGGUUGAGGGCUCCGCUCUCUGGUCUCUUAGAUUUUCGCACACUUGAAGAAGGACGUUCCUUUGGUGCACUAGGGCCUCUGGCGUUUGACCGGGUAUAUUUUCUCUUUGGAGGACUUGGGAGCAUAGCAUCAUCAGAUUCUUCACUUUCCUCAUCAGAUAACACCAUCCUUGAUCGUUUCCGGAAGUCUGGUGCUUGUGAUCUUCUUACCAAACCAGUGCGGCUUUCUGUUUUUCCCUGUGGGUCACUAAUUCCCUGGGCGUUGAAUGUGCUGCCCAAAAGUGUACAAGAAGUCGCAAGUUCUUCAUCAUCAAUGUUCAUAGCCUCUUGUGUAGUAUCUUCCUCAGCCUCAUCAUCUGUUUCUGAGCACCGAUCAUCACUAUCCUCUUCCUUCUCAAUCUCACGGUCCUCCUUAAAUUGCUCAAGCUUUUUCAUCUCAGCUUCCACAACUCUAGUGUGACAACACCCUCCCGCAUCAUGAAAUGUACUCGAGAAAGACAAGUUGCAAUCUAAUAACUUCGAUUGAGGGACUUAACAGAACCACCCAACAUCUUAACUAUCCUUCAUCUGAGCUACCCAAGAAUAGAUAAAUUAAUCUAAGUGUGAGUCGCAGCCUCUUCCCUUAUUUUCUAAACUAACAACCGAAGAAAGCAUGGGUUCUCUUCUAACUUUCAAAAUAAUAUAUGUACACAGAAAGCACUGCUGAUAUCAAGCGAAUAGUUAGGAGAACAGCUUUUAGUUAGAUAGUCACCUAACCUUGCAUCGUUGAAUUUGCUGAAACGAACAACAUAGCAGUAGUGCAUGUUCUGGAGGGCACUGAUUUUUAAAUCAAGGAAAUGAUUAUCUCCACUUUCUUUUACGAUGCUGAAACCCCAGAAGAGAAGAGUUAACGCGAAAAGUUCUAGCGGCAUUCCAAUGAAGAGCCUUAAGGUCCAGAAUUCACACUCAAGAGCAAGUGAAUAUUAAAUAUGAAACGAGAAGUUCAACACUCGGCUCGCCGAAAUUUAUCCGCAAUGUGAAAAGUGGCGUGUGCUUAGACUAAUAAUUCAUUGAGCAUUACCCUCCGAUUAGGAGUAGAAUACCAACUCGCCGUAGAAUCAGAAGGCUAGAAGGGCUAUGGUACUAACACUGAAUGAUGUAUUCAUGUCUUGGCCACUUGAACCCGCAGUUUAUCAUCUCAAAUGCAAGUAUUGGAAAAGAAAGUGCUUUCAAGAAUGUGGAAACAGAUAGAGAAGCAUGGACUUAUAGUAGAUAUUCUACUAGCUCAAAACAUAUUCAGCCUCAAGAUUAAGCAUAAUACUCUCAGUAUUUUGGAUCUUACUCAUAGGCUUGUUGAUAAGCUUUCAAGGCACCUUUGAAAUCACCAGAAGAAUCCAAGGCAUUUCCGUAGUUGAUCAAAGCAACCGCUUGUCCCUGACAUGAGAAGAAGCACUUAAAAAGUAACAUUAUUGCCACAGAACUAAUGAAAUUGCAACUAAGGUUUAGGAACGUGGCAGUAUAGCAGGACUUGCAGAGAAUCAACAGAAAAUAGCGUUCACAAGAAGACCUUGCCAUAGCAUGAUUUUGACCAUUAAAUCUGAAGGAUCUGGGCGAUACACCCAAACCAUUCACAAUAAAGAACUUAGAGGCAGAAAAAGAAUGAGAAAGGGUAUUUCACAACACUUCGAUAAUUUAGUGCAAAUCGUAACAGCCCUUGACGAAACAAUUAGCCUGUGAUAUAGUCUUCUACCGAUGCAGGGUAACAUGCUGCCAAGAAACAACCCACCUCGUCAUGAUGCACUCGCUGGCAGACCUUAUAGCUCUUAAGAUGCCAUUUCUUGGCCUUUUCAUAAUUGCAAAGAUUGCAAUAAGAUUCACCAAUAGUAUCCAAUGCAUCUCCCAUCUUCUCUAAAUCUCCAAGAGCGUCCACGACUUUCUUCAACCGUUUAGCAAGCUUUAAAUGCUGAAAAGAGCAGGAGCACGAACAAAAUUCAUUGACAUGAAACUAACUUAACUGUCGAGGGAAUAAUAGAGAUAACUAAGUGCGUUGAUAGAGGAAGAGUCGCGGUUUCCAUUCACAAAGAUUCAGGCCUUGAAGGAUUGACAAGGAAAUUGCAGUUUAGAGCAAAAGCUUAAGGCUAUAGGCAGGAUUCACUUUUCGAAUGACCACUAAGGCUGGUCCAUCAAACAUAAAGUUUAACAAAGAAUUUGAUGACAUCACAAGACACAAGUGAAUAUCCAAGGUCAAAUGACAUCAGAAUCCUCCUUCUGGUGGUUUUUCUAGUUCGUAAGAAGCGCCUCACUUAUCAUCCCAAAAAAUAUGUGGACAAGAACUCACACCUCUUCCCAAUAUUGCAGUUCAAAGGCCUGCCCGAUGAGCUCUUUCAAAACUUUGAACUCCUUCAGACAAAGGCUUCUCUCUAAUGCUGUGCCCCGAGCUGUAUCCACUUGCGAUUGCAAUUCCUUGUGCUUUGCCAAACUCAAGUUAAAGGCCUUUAAUUUGGGUAUAGCAGCCUCCACAACUUCUUUGUUUGUCUCCACUGUUUUCAUCAACCCGUCCUCGUCCUGCAAUUUUCUUACGAUCACGUGCGCCAGAUUGUAGCAUCUUAUGGCAUCUAUGUAUUGUCGCUGUUUGAAGUGAAUAUCAGCCAAGUUAAUCAAACCUUUAACCUCACCUUGAGGAUGUGGAAGUGCUCGGCAAAUCUCAAUAUCCUUCAAUACAUGAGACAUGGCCUGAGCCCACUGGCGCUUUUCCGCGUAAAGGCGCCCCAAGUUGUGGUGCACUCGGGUCCUAGCAGCAUCAUUCUGGCCAACCUCUUCUUCAUCACAUAUUCUAAGUCCUUGCAACAAAAGUCUUCGUGCUUCCAAAGGUUCAUCAGUAACCAUCUUCAUUGUACCAAGGUUGUUAUAAGCAUCAACCAGUUCUACAAUAUAAGUUGAGGCAUAGCCCGGCACAGGAUUGGCUUUCAGCUUUUUAACAAGCUCCAUAGCCUUAUUGAAUGAAUCUUUUGCUUUAGGCAAUGCCAGCACGUCUUCUUGAAACUCAUACAUAUCCAUGUAUGUUCGUCCCAGCUGCGUGUAAGCCCUUUGUUGCUCAACCAGAUCAUUUGCUUCCACAGAAAGCUCUAAAUGCCGUUCCUGGCAACCAUAAUAUGGGUUAGCGUAUGCUUCCAAACUUCUAAACUUCGAUUGCAAUCGAGAUCGCAAGUCCUAAACCCGUCCCAGAUUAGGUUAAGCGAUGCAAAAGAACUUUUCGCGAGUGUUGUAACUUCCUUUGGUGACGAGACCAUACACUUCAUCACAAUAAAAACAUGCUUCACACUGCAAGACAAAAGGAAAAAAAUGACAAUCGCAAAAUGUGGACACUUCUCAAAUAAAUAAUGAUUCCAUUAGAAAGUUUUAGCAAACCGUACAGUACCGAUUGACCAUUCAAUAUGACUGAGAAAAUCUCAGAAAAAAAGGUAAAUUUUAAAAAGUUGUAAAUAAAUGCUGUCAAGGCUUAUCAGGAAAUUAGGGUUAAAAUACACCUGGUAGUGCAGGGCUUGUCGAUAAUCCCCAAGGCGAUGGUAGAUCUCUCCGAGCGACUGGCAAGUUGGCAUCAAAUUCAGGCGCGGGCCGUCGAAUUGUCGUUUCACGGAAAUGUCGUAAUCCAAACGAAACCAGGUAAGAGCGUCCACAUAGUCACCACGGUCUUUGUAAGCAUGACCAAUUUGGUUAGCCCAGCGAGCCUCUUCUUCCCGAUCUCCACUCUCCUUAGCAGCCCUAUAACAGGCUUUCAUACCUUCCGGGCCAUCCGCCUUCUUGCCCCUCCUACCCAUGAUGCCUCACUUCACAAACUGGCAGCACUGACACUUCGGCAAACUACAGCUUCAAGUUUCACUUUAGAGGAGUAGAAAAGUAUCCGCAUGCUUAGGCGAGGAUAAUUCACGCACGAGUACACAUUCUAACCUCGCCACUACUCCAGCACAAGUAGCAAAAUCCACAACACAGAAAUUUCCUGAGCUUCUGGGUUGCGUCGAUCACGAUGUAUUCCAUCGAAAUAAUACCCUCAUUCACAAAGCAAGGAUGAAAAUCCGAUCAAAGGAGUCCUAAUAAAUUAGGUAUAGGAGGCGGUGCCCAACUCGACCUUAAAUUCAAAGAACUCGCGAACUGGAGGCACGGUGUAAAACCCUUUCUCAAGUACGUGGUCGAGUAUAUGUAUUUCAUUUCGAUGAUUUCCAAGCGAGACUUCCGGAAUAUGGACACAUGAAUGCCUUGUAACUUCCUUCUUCAUUUCUUCCUGACCAGGGUUAUUCCUAAACCUCUAAAACCUGCAACCGAUGUUUCAGAAAGUACAAUGACAUCGAAUGAAUCACACCACCCGCACCCUCAAAACUUUUUGCCACACAUCACAGAAUCCCAAAUCUGACGCUGCCUACGAGAUCCACGCUCGCCAUCCUGCAUUUCCAGGUCUCGAGAAAGAUUCAGACAACAAUUGCGGCGGACUUCGAGCGCGCAAACUGCGACGAGAACCCGGUUUCGAAAGGCUUGCAAUCCUAAGGCCUCAAAAAAUUGGCGCCAAAGUGCAAUACUCUCUGUGGCCGGAGCACACAUGUUUGUGGCAUAUUGGCAAAAAAUAGAUUGGACGCGCCCUGUCAUGGGCCUACAUUACACCUCGAUUCUUCCAAUUUCGUUCGACUGUCAAUUGUUACCGAGAAAAAUGCUUUCUCCUUGGCAUACUACAGUCGUGUGGGGCAAGAAAUUUGAUAGCUCGCUUUCUGCUUCGUCGCUGCAUUUUUACGGCGGGAGUCAAUACAUUUCGCGACACGUUCUGCUUCCUUGUUGAAUGGCACAUUGUCAUCGUGAGAUGCUAUUCAUUCUGCAGUACCGGUAACUCGAUCGUCAAGCUUUGUGGUAAAGGGGUUAUAUAGAGUGCUUAGGGCACAUGGCUGAUUAGGACGGACUCGUAAGGCAAUAUCAGUUCGUUGUAAGUUUUCGCAUCUAUUGAGCUCCUGUAAACAUCGAAUCAGAAUCAUUCCAAAGUGUUGUAGACGUUCAUCACUGUUGCAUGAUGAACCUCGGAGAUAGGUUAUUGAGAAUUGAAGGGCAGCUGGCUUUCUGGGAUAUUCAUAUGAAGGAAGAAUCAGCCGUUCACUGUGGGCUCCAGGGUGAUGAAGCCCAUUCUGCCACAGGAUGACUUUGCAUGUUGAAGAUUUUUAUCGAGCUGGAACGCAUCACAGUGACUCACCUAAUCUCAUGCAGUACAAAAUAUGCAGAAAAAUCCAGGUUCAGACACUUAACUCGAGUUAGAUAAUAUCUGCACAACUUUAUUAUUUCGUGAACUCUCCUGCGUGACUUAGCAUCGCCAUAGUCGAUAGAUGAAAAAGCACUGUAACAACAUUCUCAGAACUUGUGACCCUAAUCUUAUAACUACAUGGGUUUGCACUGCCCUAUGAGUAUAACUUCGUGAAUAUUACACUCUUUUACUAGAUGAAUUACAUAAGGCUUGAGUAACGCAAUCGAGGUAGCAAUUUACGAAUUGCUUCGAUGACAUGCUCCGAGGUUAUUGUUGCGCUGCUUCAAUUCUUUACACAACCGAAAUCACUGACACGUAUGGAAUAUUAUGCUAACAACAUGUUUACAACAGAUUGUGUGACUCGCCGUUGUGGUGGCCUCAUCUCCUGUUAAACCGACGCCCAAGUUUGACAAUCACACGGUCUCCAUCACCUGCCGAAAUAAUAUUGUCGAGUCGUCUGCUUAACUGGAAGGAAACUGAGGAGACUGGCAUCCUACAGCUCCUUGUGACCCUUCCCCAAUUUCAUUAUCUGGGCAUAUGCGUCUUUUACUAAAUUGUACUCUGGGUACUUCUGCAUCAACACUGUACAAACGAACAAGAAUCAUGCAGCGCCGUCAUCAGUAGCCGAAACUAGAUCUCACCCCUCUCAGCUUUGUCAUAGAUGAUUCCAAGUGCACUAAUCGGAUCUGAUAUGGCCUCUAACUUCAUAGUUGUGUCUAGGAUCGCCUCUGCUUGAUUCCACCUAAAUAAUCUAACAACACAAACUUCCGGCCCAAGUUCAAUUGCCUAUGGGACUAAAGUUCUGCCGCAUAAAUUUGAGAUUAUAAACAUACGAAACGGAAUACAAAACAUGAAUUGUCAGCUCGAUCUAACAUGCCGCUCAUCAGUACAUCGCUAAGAAACGUUUGAUCGGAUCUGGAAAAUGCUAGGCUGUAAGCUUGCAGUUAUCAACAUCAAUCGCAUGCUCACUACAUCAUCUAGGCUGCAAAGAUGUCACCGGAAACAUUUCGAACUUAGUCCUACACCGCGCUGACCUCCAAAUAGGAGUACAAACAUGUUGGGUACGAGACAAAUCCUCACAUACAGCGUCCAACUCUCCAAGAAAACAUUGUACUGAAGUGAAGAAGCAUGCGAUGAUGGAUACGGGAGAAACAGUGCGGCAAUGCUACGAGACAGAAUAUGUGCAGAUUCAAGGAUAGUACCUCGGAAGAGAAGGCCAAGAGCCAUGAGACCGACGAUGGCGGCAAAGAAGGAAACAAAGCGCUUAGGGUCAUCUCGCACCAUCUUCCCUCCUUCCAUCGUUUUGGCGCCGCUGGCCUUGAUGGCGCCCGUGCCCUUCUGUACGUAGGGAUUGUUCACCACGGUCUGAUGAGCCUGGACGGCUCUCUGACGCAACGUAUUCACAACCGGGUGGUUGGCCACAGUGUCGGCGUGUUUCUUCAUAGAGGGAUGGAUCCUGUCAAGCAACGUAUUCCAUCUCCCUGCAGCAGCGGCCGGCACAGCAGAAGCUACCGAAUCGGGUGAUUCUGAUGCCGGGGUGGGUUCCUCAGCUUUUUUGCUUUCUGCUUCGUCAUCGCUGCUGGAGCUGCCACUGUCGUCUGCUGCAGGAGGCUGGGUUUCAGACUCCUCUGUCACGGCAGGUGUUGGCGCAUCCGUGGGAUCGGUCGCGGCAGGAAGCUCAAACGAUCUUGAUUCCUGCUCCACAGUUGGUUGAACAUCGCCUGCUCCAUCGACCACAUCCGCCAUCUUAAUUGCCUUUCGUCACGCUGCAACUUCAAUCCUACCUCAGAUCUGCAGCUUCCUUCAACAGAACUGCAAAACUUCAAUCCAAUCUGAUUCGCUGGCUGCGAAACCUUGAUGCCCGGUUAUGGCGGUUACAAUCUGAGGGAUUUUAGUGCACUGUCACCGCAAUGUUGACUAGGAAUUGACUACAACCAUCAGGUGUUAGAAGUGCACUCCAAGAACUAGUAUGAUCCCCGCCAGAUUAU
rnacentral:lncRNA from 1 species